rnacentral:rRNA from 1 species
CAGAGGUCCCGAGCGUUGUUCGGAUUCACUGGGCGUAAAGGGUGCGUAGGCGGUCGGGUAAGUCUGAUGUGAAAUCUCACAGCUUAACUGUGAAACUGCAUUGGAUACUAUUCGGCUUGAGAGUUGGAGGGGGACUGGAAUUCUUGGUGUAGCAGUGAAAUGCGUAGAUAUCAAAAGGAACACCAGUGGCGAAGGCGAGUCCCUGGACAACUUCUGACGCUGAGGCACGAAAGCUAGGGGAGCAAACAGGAUUAGAUACCCUGGUAGUCCUAGCCGUAAACGGUGCUUAUUGCUGUAAAAGGAAUCGACCCCUUUUGUGGCGUAGCAAACGCGUUAAAUAAGCCGCCUGGGAAGUACGGUCGCAAGAUUA